rnacentral:rRNA from 1 species
CCUACGGGUGGCAGCAGUAGGGAAUCUUCCACAAUGGGCGAAAGCCUGAUGGAGCAACGCCGCGUGGGUGAAGAAGGUCUUCGGAUCGUAAAACCCUGUUGUUAGAGAAGAAAGUGCGUGAGAGUAACUGUUCACGUUUCGACGGUAUAUAACCAGAAAGCCACGGCUAACUACGUGCCAGCACCCGCGGUCAUACGGAGGUGGCAAGCGUUAUCCGGAUUUAUUGGGCGUAAUGGGAACGCAGGCGGGCAUUUAAGUCUGAUGUGAAAGCCGUGGGGUUAAACGGAGUAGUGCAUUGGAAACUGGGGGACUUGAGUGCAGAAGAGGAGAGUGGAACUCGAGGUGUAGCGGUGAAAUGCGUAGAUAUAUGGCAGAACACCAGUGGCGAAAGCGGCUCUCUGGUCUGUAACUGACGCUGAGGUUCGAAAGCGUGGGUAGCAAACAGGAUUAGAUACCCCAGUAGUC